ensembl:lncRNA
GCAAGUGGCCCCUGCUGGAUACAAACUCUGUUCACAUCAGGAUGCUCCUGCCCGGGAGAAUGAAAUACCCUACAUCAGCAGGAGGGAAAUGUACACCAUGGAGAGAGAGGAGAAGAUGUGUCCUUUUAUUUCCAGCAAAAUGGUGCUGCUUUGAUUCGUUUCAGCAACCAGAAGUUAUGGAGGUGAAGAGCUAAGAGAUGACAACUUGAAAUUUGACAAGACCUGAGUUCAGCUCCUGAUGCCAAAACAGCCUGCACCACCCUUCUACCACACAGUUGAAGAGACAAAAGGCAGACAGGAGAGGUGAGGACUGACCAAAGGUAGAGCGUUUUCUCCUUGCAAGGUACUUGAGGGAGCACUUGAAGUGGAGCACCCCACGAAUCGUGGGAGCUGCUGGGCAGAGCAGCUCAGCUGUGUGCUCAGGGCACUGUGCACUCAUGUGUCCAGUACAAGAGCAGAAGCAUUUCCCCAUCCAGACAACUAUCACCUGAUGAAUUUUCAGAUUUUAUGCUUUUUCUUUCUAAGAAUGUAGUAAAGUAGACCUUGGGCAGAACAUUAACUGCCCCCCCAGCUUGUUAAUAUGUGAAUGGUUACACCAUGUUUAAACACCAAAAUUUACACUCAUUUUUGGCUUCAAAUGACAAUUUAAAAGCAGGAAGAGGGUGUGCUAUGCGGCAAUUGUACUGAAAACUGUGGUUUAUUCAUAGAAUAUUGGGAAAAGCAGCUCAUGUCCCAGCUGAUUUUCCUUCCUGUAUUCACAUUUGAAUGCUACAGUAAAAGCUUUCCAGGUCGUAGGAUUUUGACUUUGUGUCAAGAAGAGUGGCAGAUAUGAUCUCCAUUAAAUGCAACCUACUUAAGGUAUGAUAAGGCCAUAUCAGUGGUUUCACUUUAGCAUCUGCAAGUCUUUAAUUCUAGGUGACUUUUUCACUGUAGGAAAAGGAGUCUGGUUUCUCAGCUGAUAACCCAAAAACUAAUAGGUUUUCUUUUGUUUGGGUUUAUUUUUGGGCAGGGGUUGCCUUCAAGCAAUCUUGAUAUAUCUCUGGAACACCCACAGAUGUUGAGAAGUCACCAGCCAAAAUAGCUCUUUGAUGUUUUAGAUGUGUUUUCUCUUAACCAGGAUUCAUGACCCCAGCUAGAGACACAGAGGACGCAGAUCUCCGAGUUUUUGGAGGGUGAAUAUAAUUAUAUGUGUUCAUGUUUUAAUGCCUUCCAAAACAUGUGUGAGAUAGGACAUCUAUUUUAGCACCUAGCUGUGGAUCCAGCUGCUUUAGAGCAUUUUUACCAGCUGCUGUUUGUUCAUAGCUAUGCAGUGUUAAUUAACCUGUCUUACCCUUUUAUCCAACCUCCUCCUCUUUUGUUUCUAGACAUACAAGCUAUGAUCCUACCUACACCCGGAGGAGUCAAAGCUCACGGAAAAGGAGACUGAAUUGUUUGAAUCUCUGGAUUUCUUGUUCUGCCUGUACAUUAAAAUCCCCAGAGAUUACUGAGCCCUGUUUCUGACCCUGUUACACAGAGCUGGUGCCUUGCUUCAACCAUGUUGUGAGGGCAGAAGAAACUGCAAACUCAGGCUUGGAUUGUUUGCAAACUGAUGCAAAAACCCUCUCAGUGGUGACCUGUUACCUGUAGUCUCUCACAGCUCCUCUGUGGCUGGCUCAGACCUCUUCUAAAUAAAGGUUUUACCAAAAUAAGCUAUUGCA